UCAGGUAACUAUCAUGAUUAGCAUGAAUUAGAUACAAGACAGUACUUCAGUGACUAGCGUGAACUGGGCGCAAUAUGCUAUUUCCUACAAUCUUGGUGGGUGGCGGUGCCGGAGGAAGUCCGAGGGAUGGGCCGGUGUCUUGGAGACUGAAAACAGAUCCGGAGCAGGCGGAGGUUAGCGGCGGCUGCAGGAGGAUGCAGUGAAGGAAGAGCCGUUGAUGGAGAUGCCUGAAUGUGGCCUUUGAAUCUUUCUACCAUCUGGCUAGACGGAUCACGGGUACCUGAGGCCUCCAACCACCCCUUGUGGUGAUGUGUGACCAUCAAAUUAUGUAUUCAAUAAUCAAGACAUAUUUUAAGGAUUUUAAAAUGUGAGGGUUUUGCGCUUAACAAGUCAAAAGAACCUAAUAAAGUAUACAGAGAGAGCCUGGACUAUUUUUGUCUGACAAAAUCUUGUUACUGUUCCAGAAAUAAUUCCUCCAAACGUUAUUUAUAGCAGCAGUCAGGUUCCUUCGUCGUUUGUACACUGUGUAAAUGAAAAACGAAAGUUUUGCUGAAAACAGAUGGCGGGUGGUUAGAUGGGUUAGUUAGCUUAUGGAUGUUUUGUGUAUGUGUGUGCGUGCACCCGUACCAGCGAAAAAGAGAAUAACUUGCAUCUUAAAUGGCACUAAGUAGUCUUCAACACCAUCUUGCCUUUUAGCAGCGAAACUUUAUGGACAUUCUUGCAUCUUAGCGGGCACUAAGUAAUCUUUAUGCACUUUCUUGCAUAUUUUGUUCUCAAUACCUCCUUUCACAAGAAACAUUGUCCACCGUAAAAAGUGGUUUAUUGUGUAUGUAGUCAUACAAACUUUAUCUGUGGUAUGAGUGACAUCUUGAGUGCGGCAUGAAACAGUCUGCCCUCACUCCGCCUCCUGUCAACCAUUAUGCCCUUUGCAAUUAAGAUUCUUAAAACACGUUUUCCCGGUCUUUUAUGUUGGUGCGAAUGGUGUUUAUUUAGUUUUUACUUCCACUUUAUCCCCUGUUUCUUCUUUAAAAAUAAAUAAGUGCAGACGGGGAUAGCAUUCUCCUUCGGUGAUUUUAUAUGUCGUGGGAGUGCAGGAGGGCGGCAGGGAGAGGCACUGCAAGUAUUUGCAGUAGUAAUAGCAAUAGUAAUGCUAGUAAAAGUAAAGUCUUCUUUGUUAAUGGACAGUUAGGUCCUCGAUGUUUUACCUGGGAAUUUGUUCAGCAAGUAUACAGACCGGCAACACGCGUGUGUAUACGAGCAGAUUUUGAGUCCUUUGACUUAAAUAAUCACAUCUUUCCCAACUUCCACUUCAA